rfam:Salmo salar isolate Sally breed double haploid chromosome ssa22, whole genome shotgun sequence.
AUACUGUAUAUUUGUAAGUCGCUCUGGAUAAGAGCCUCUGCUAAAUGACGUAAA